rnacentral:rRNA from 1 species
CUCAAGGAAUGACGGGGCUCACACAAGCGGUGGAGGAUGUGGUUAAUUCGAAGCAACGCGCAGAACUUACCAGGUCUUGACAUACCGGAUUAGUUCCGUGAAGCGGGAUGAUUACUGUAACAGGUGUAACCGGAACAGGUGCUGCAUGGCUGUCGUCAGCUCGUGCCGUGAGGUGUUAGGUUAAGUCCUUUAACGAGCGAAACCCCUACGAUUAGUUACCAGCGCGUCAUGGCGGGGACUCUAGUCGGACUGCCGCGCAAGUAGGAGGAAGGUGGGGACGACGUCAAGUCAUCAUGGCCUUUAUGACCUGGGCCACACACGUCCUACAAUGGAUGCGACAGAGGGUUGCAGAGCCGCAAGGUGAAGCCAAUCCCACAAACGCAUCCUCAGUUCAGAUUGUGGGCUGCAAUUCGCCCACAUGAAGCUGGAAUCGCUAGUAAUCGCGGAUCAGCUACGCCGCGGUGAAUAUGUUCCUGAGCCUUGUACACACCGCCCGUCAAGCCACCCGAAUUGGUCGCACCCGAAGUCGUAGUUCCAACCGCAAGGAGGGACGCGCCGAAGGUGAAGCCGGUGAGGGGGACUAAGUCGUAACAAGGUAACCAAGGG